CACGUAGGGGGCGAGCGUUGUCCGGAAUUACUGGGCGUAAAGGGCGCGUAGGCGGCCUAAUAAGUCAGAUGUGAAACCCCCGGGCUUAACCCAGGGCUUGCAUUUGAAACUGUUGGGCUUGAGGACAGGAGAGGAAAGCGGAAUUCCCAGUGUAGCGGUGAAAUGCGUAGAUAUUGGGAGGAACACCAGUGGCGAAGGCGGCUUUCUGGACUGAACCUGACGCUGAGGCGCGAAAGCGUGGGGAGCAAACAGG
rnacentral:rRNA from 1 species